rnacentral:rRNA from 1 species
AACGAACGCUGGCGGCGUGCCUAACACAUGCAAGUCGAACGAGAAAGGGGCUUCGGCUCCGAGUAAAGUGGCGCACGGGUGAGUAACACGUGGGAACCUUCCCCUAAGGUUUGGAAUACUCGGCCAAAGGAGAGCCAAAUCCCGAAAAGGCCACAAGUUCCGCCGGAAACAGGGUUAAAGGGAAGCCCUUCUUGCCAGCUUUUAACUAGGGAUGGGGCCGCGCACCAUUAGCUAGUUGGUUGGGUAACGGCCUACCAAGGGAAAGAUGGUUAGCUGGUCUGAGAGGAUGAUCAGCCACACUGGAACUGAGACACGGUCCAGACUCCUACGGGAGGCAGCAGUGGGGAAUAUUGCGCAAUGGGCGAAAGCUUGACGCAGCAACGCCGCGUGAGUGAUGAAGGCCUUCGGGUCGUAAAGCUCUGUCGGGAGGAACGAAUGCUCCUGAGGUUAACAGCCUCGGGAGGUGACGGUACCUUCAAAGGAAGCACCGGCUAACUCUGUG